CCUACGGGUGGCAGCAGUGGGGAAUAUUGGGCAAUGGGCGCAAGCCUGACCCAGCGACGCCGCGUGAGGGAAGACGGUCUUCGGAUUGUAAACCUCUUUCAGCCGGGAAGACAAAAGGACGGUACCUGCAGAAGAAGCCACGGCUAAAUCCGUGCCAGCAGCCGCGGUAAUACGUAGGUGGCAAGCGUUAUCCGGAAUUACUGGGUGUAAAGGGUGUGAAGGCGGGUUGGCAAGUCAGAUGUGAAAAUUAUGGGCUCAACACAGAGCCUGCGUCUGAAACUACAGAUCUAGAGAGUAGGAGAGGUAAACGGAAUUCCCGGUGUAGCGGUGAAAUGCGUAGAUAUCAGGAGGAACACCAGUGGCGAAGGCGGUUUACUGGACCACAACUGACGCUGAGACACGAAAGCGUGGGGAGCAAACAGGAUUAGAUACCCGGGUAGUC
rnacentral:rRNA from 1 species